AUUAAUUGCUUUGAAAAUUGACAGAAAAAUACAGUAAACUUUUAUGGGGAUCAGCCAAAACAACCUCUAGGAAUAUCCCCGUUUCAUAUUAUGACAAAAGAAAAAAAAAUCAAAUUUAGUAAUGGUAUGCUUUCGUUUGUUUCCUCCUUAAAGCUUGAUAGGAAAUUCUAAACCCUAUAAGGAGAACCUCCUUAAGAACUGCUAGCUCCCCCCCAGAAAAAAGUGCAGGAAAAAAGAAACCCAAUAAUGGCACAAGCUUCUUCGGUUGUUUACAACAACAAGAGGAAACUUUGGGUGCCGCUUCCUUUACACGGUUUUGUUGUUGCAGUGGCAGUGCUUUUGCUUUGUUUUGCACCCAUUAACAUUUCGGCCGCCGCGAGACAACAAUCUCCGCCGCUGCAGCUAUCGUAGAAGCUGAGGUUCGGUCGGACCGGGGAGUUUAAGAUACAACAAGUGGCGGACAUGCACUAUGCUGAUGGUAAAACAACGCCGUGUUUGAAUGUGUUGCCUAGUCAGGUUCAUGGUUGCUCUGAUCUCAACACUAGUGCGUUUAUCCAGCGCAUGAUCCAAGCUGAGAAACCAAAUUUAAUCGUUUUCACAGGGGAUAACAUCUUUGGAUUCGAAGGCAAAGAUUCAGCCAAAUCAUUAAAUGCAGCAUUUGCCCCUGCAAUUGCUGCAGGGAUUCCAUGGGCUGCUGUAUUGGGGAACCAUGACCAGCAAGGCACCUUAUCUAGGGAAGGGGUUAUGAAACACAUAGUGGGGUUGAAGCAUACACUGUCUCAAUUCAAUCCACCUAAAGCACAUAUCAUAGAUGGUUUUGGCAACUAUAACCUGGAGGUGGGUGGGGUUGAAGGCUCUGGUUUUGCAAACAAAUCAGUCCUCAACCUCUACUUCCUUGACAGUGGCGAUUACUCCACGGUUCCUUCUAUCCCUGGCUAUGGCUGGAUUAAACCCUCUCAACAGCUAUGGUUUCAACGCACCUCUGCAAAACUUCAGAGCGCCUACAUGAGGCCACCAAUGGCUAAAAAAUCAUUUGCGCCAGGGCUUGUGUAUUUUCACAUCCCACUGCCUGAAUUUGCUAGUUUCGAUGCAUCUAACUUCACCGGGGUGAGACAAGAAGGGAUAAGUUCGGCUUCUAUAAACUCAGGCUUCCUCACAACAAUGGUAGAAGCAGGCGAUGUGAAGGCUGUUUUUACAGGCCACGAUCACCUCAACGACUUUUGUGGUCAAAUGACUGGAAUACAAUUGUGUUACGCUGGUGGUUUUGGGUAUCAAGCAUAUGGGAAAGCUGGGUGGUCAAGGAGAGCCAGGGUGGUGGUGGCAUCCUUAGAGAAGACAGAUGAAGGAGGUUGGGGGGCAGUGAAGUUGAUUAAUACAUGGAAGCGCCUUGAUGAUGAGCAUCUCACUGCCAUUGACAGCCAGGUCCUCUGGAGCAAGCACUUAACUCCUAAACUUUGAUUUUGCCAUCUACAUGGGGGGGGGGGGGGUUGAAAUCUUUUAUUAUUACUGCAUGUAAACAUUUGUAAAGAUGUGCAACAGUUGUUGAAGUUCUAUGUACGAUACAUGACAUUUUACCUCCUAAACUAUAACUACUUUUUCACA